AUUUUCUUAGUACAAAUAGUACAAAUGACUUCCAAUCAUUUAGUCUUGGUUCAAUUCCAGGAGGAAAUA
rnacentral:tRNA from 1 species